UACGUAGGGUGCAAGCGUUGUCCGGAAUUAUUGGGCGUAAAGAGCUCGUAGGCGGUUUGUCGCGUCUGCUGUGAAAACCCGAGGCUCAACCUUUGAAAGCCGGUGGAUACUGCACGGCUAGAGUACGGAAGAGGCGAGUGGAAUUCCUGGUGUAGCGGUGGAAUGCGCAGAUAUCAGGAGGAACACCGGUGGCGAAGGCGGGUCUCUGGGCCGAUACUGACGCUGAGGAGCGAAAGCGUGGGGAGCGAACAGG
rnacentral:rRNA from 1 species